UGUUUACUUCGUUCAUAACGCGUGCAGAAAUAUGCAGAAAUAUGACAAUCUCGAUGAAUCUUCUGCUGUGUGUAUGGCUGCCAAAAAUGUUCUGUUGAUUAAUGGUUUGGAAUGUAAGAUGGCAUCAAACUCAUCCAAGAUCUCUUAUGUCCUGGACACGGAGGACUUUUUUAUUCGUUUGGGAAGGAAAAGAAACCGAUUGGGAGACAGAUCGUCUUGCAAUAACCAGGCUAGGGUAUUACGAUUUCACCAAUUUUUGACCACCUCUAUAUGAUAUAAACUGGCCAUUUUAUCAAGAGUGUACUGUCAUUUGUUCUGCUCGAGACAUUACUGAGCAGUUCAUUACUUCUCAACAAGCCCCGUUAACCCCAAGGGAACAGAGUUGCUCGGGAUUGUAGGGAUUGUAGUAUCUUGUGAGCUUAUCUAAAUGGUACGUGCUCCAUUCAUCUGUAUAUAGCAGUGGCCCAUACUCUCAAUUGUAGAAUCAUGUUUGUUCGUUUAGAGUGCUUACAUGGGCAAAAAAUUGCCUGCUGUUUUAUUUUGUAAUAUCUAUUAGUCCGUAUUUUCCCAGAAAUGGAGUUUCUGGCACUGGCUUUGCUAUAGAAUAUGUUAGAGAUAGUGAUGGGAAAGGGAAAAAUAGUAUAGCAGAAUGUUCAGACUUUAAAAUUCCAUUAUGUUCUAUUAGCUUUGUACAGAGCUUAAAUCCUGACUCAUGUUCUUACUGGUAUA